UGAGACUGAGGUAAUCCUGAGC
rnacentral:miRNA from 1 species